rnacentral:rRNA from 1 species
GACUGCAGGCUGCAACUCGCCUGCACGAAGUCGGAAUUGCUAGUAAUCGUAGGUCAGCAUACUACGGUGAAUACGUUCCCGGGCCUUGUACACACCGCCCGUCACACCAUGAGAGUCGGGAACACCCGAAGUCCGUAGCCUAACAGCAAUGAGGGCGCGGCCGAAGGUGGGUUCGAUAAUUGGGGUGAAGUCGUAACAAGGUACC